GAGGAGUCCUCCCCCCUUCCCUGGCUUUUUAAAGCAAGAAGGACACUGAACACAAUACAUACCCAUAUCUGUACUUCUGCACAGGAUGUGAAGUCAUUCCUUCCCUAGAGCUGUGUAACUUCCUAGGAGGUGAUCUGCUCCCCACCUGGUUGUGUGGCUACACUGCAACACCAUCAAACUGCUGACAACGGUAGGAGUUUAACAGAAAUACACUGGUCCAGAUUUAUGCUCAUUUAACACUCUAGUAUGAUCUUGGCCAAAGAGUUCAGAUUAGCACACAUGGGUUUAUAAACACUUGUAAACAAUGGUAAAACAGGUUGGAUGAAAAUCCCAGUGAAUAUUAAAAUCUGACCCCAAUGUGGUAAAACCAUAUGUUGUGUAUACUCAUUAUACAUGCUGUGGAAUACCUAGGUCAUUUGGAGUCUCAUUUUUAAUAUCUCAAUUGGAAGGCUUUUCUUUAUCUUAUUUCCUCACCAGGAAUGGACAAUUUCAUUGCCUAUGAUGGGUUUACAAGUAAUAGAAAUUUACCUUUGAAUAAUCGAUGAAACAUAGAAAGCGAUCCUUGUUGCAAUACAAUAUAAUCCCUCUAUCCCGGGGGAAUGGGAUAUGUUCCAGGAUUUCACAUGGAUCCGUAAAACUGCAGGUAAUAGCAAACUAUAUUUAAUCACCUGGGGGACCUGGAAAAUACCUAGAGAGGACAUAUUUCAUCAGGCAUAGGUAAAUGAAACCUCAGGUAUUAUUUAUUUAUUUAUUUAUUUAUUUACAGUAUUUAUAUUCAAUACAAAUAAGACAGACAAUUGUACAUAGAGAUAUAUAUAGGCUUUUCCUAUCUUCAGCAUUUUGGAAACGUGCUCGGUUCCGGUCAUGGGCGAGGUGUGUGUGUGUGUGUGAUGUCGCUCCAUCUCCCUGCCGAAGAGUUGUGUUCGUAAACUUCCUCCUUGAUCGAAUUGUCGGCAUUUUUCUGGCAUUUCCUUAUGGGUGCUUUAAAAUACCUCUUCGCUUUUAAGUGGUACUUAUUUAUCUACUCACAUUUUGCUUUCAAACUGCUAGGUAGGCAGAAUCUGGGUUAAAGGUCAGGAACUCACUCUGACCCAGGUUUUGAACUGUCAACCUUUUGGCUGACAAGAUUUUUACUGCAGUUGGUGGUUUAACCUGCUGUGCUAAAGCCUGGCCCUAUGGUUUUGGUCUAUUGAAUGGUCUAUGGAAAUGGCUUUUAAGUCUGUUCUUAUUGAUUCAGUUUAAUGUGUUUUAUUGGUAUUUUAUGUUAUUGCUUUAUAUGAUUGAAUGUUUUAUACUAUUUAUUUGUAUUAUAAUUUAUUGUAUUGUAUGGCACUGAAUAUUUGCCUUUUUAAGUUGUAAGGUGCUCUGAGUCCCCAAGGGGAGAUGGGGCGGGAUAUAAAUAAAGUUUGUUGUUGUUGUUGGGCCUAUGAAUAUGGGGGUCAUACUGUAUAGUAAAUUCAGAUUUAAAUGUAUCUGUGAUUUUCCUUGCCUGACUAAACCAGAAUCACAUGUAGUUUAAUACAACGUACAAGAGCUUAUCUAUUUAGUUACUGAAAAAAAUUAUGUAAGCUAAUUUAACGUGAAAUGGUGAUUAGCUGUGACGGGUAAAAAAUAGCUUUUUCUUCAACUCCCCAAAUUGCUUGGGAGAGAAUUCUGAGAGCUCUAAUUCAAACAAAUAAUUCUGCUACUACUAGAACUAGUGCCUGGGUAGUGCUAUCAACUGGUGCCAGAUAUUUAUUUGCUUAUUAAUUAAUUAAUUAAAAUAGAUGUAAAUUUAUAAGUGUUUGUUGAAUAUAGUAUAAUAUUUCCUAGCUGUCAGUGUUUCAUGAGUACAAAUAAAAGCAUCCUAGAUUCUAAAUUAAUACCUUUAUAGGAUCACCUAUGUGCCUUUUUAGUUUGCUUUUAUUAUUAAGACAUUGAAUCACUGGUUGCCAUUAAUUAACAAAGUUUUCUAGUUGUUCUCCUCUUAAGAGUACAGUUAUUUUGUCCAUUAUUAGCAAAUCUAUAAUGUAUUUUUCCCACUCUUCUAAGGAAGGUAUCUGUGGUUUUCUAAUAUCUAGCAUAUAUUGUUCAAGCUGCCACUGUCAGGUAAAUUAUUUUUUCCUAAUUUCUUUUCUAGUUCUUCAUCAGGCAUGUUCAAAAGGUAUAUUUGUGGUGGCAUUUCGAAGUUCGUAUGUAGCAUCUUUUCAAGGUAUACAUGAAUCUGUUUCCAGUAGUUGUUUAUUUCUUUGGAUGUCCAUCACAUGUGAUAAAAUGUGCCUUUUUCUUUUCGACAUUGUCGGUGCAGUUAUACAUCGUAGCUAAUCUCUCUGGAAGGAGAGACCAACGUAGAUGCAUUUUAUAGACAUUUUCCUUUAGGUUUUGGCAUGCGGUGUAUUUCUUCUCUAUCAUGUCUUUUCCCAUUGGUCUAUUUUAAUCUCUUGGCCUAUGCUUUGAGCCCAUCUAACAAUUGAGUCUUUUACUAUGUCCUCCUUCAUGUACCAAGUCCAACUGGUGCCAGAUUUUAAACAAAGAGAAAAUACAAUUUUCAUACUGCUCAUGUUUUUCAAAUUUAGAUAAAUCUAUGAAUAACUGUAUUAAAUAACAACACAUACUAUGUGAAACAAAUGCAUAUUCGUUCACAUCAGUUGAAAAUGCUUGUGGAUGUAUAAUAGGAAGAUAUGAUUUUAUUUCACAGCACUAAGCUAUACAAUGCCUGACCAGCUACAGUCAUAAACGGAUAUUGGGAUCAAUGAAGUAUUGUUCACACUCCCGCAUGACUAAUAUUCAAAGCAUGGUCACUGACUUGUGAGCAUAUUAUGAAAUCGUUUUCAAAAUGCUGUGUAAUGAUGAAUAUGCUAUAUUGUUGGAUGUGAUUUGCUGGAUUUAUUGCUGGAUUUAUUGCUAGCAUUCCCAUAGCAGUGCUUGGCAAUCUAGUUGACACUGGCAAACGGCAGUAACAUUGGUCAGAUUUCGACUGAUUAGUUGAGAGCCAGUAUGGUUUAGUGGUUUGAACAUUGGACUACAACUCUGGGGAACAGGGUUCUAUUCCUGCUCAGCAAUGGAGACCCAAGAAUGACUUUAUUGAAUGAAUCUACUAUUCCACUGCAGUUGCAGAUAGCAGAACCAUACUAGGAUGAGCACUGAUAUAGCAGCUCUAUUUAUUCAUACAACUGUCCUAAUUUGGCAAUUCAUGGUUCUUCUACUCAUAAUCUUCUUGCAGGUCUGCAAUUUUAUUUUAAGUGAUUGUUUUAGCAAUUUCACCAUUUUAGGAGGUGAUUCCCACCCUUUGAUGUCAUUUUAACGCCAGUAUGCCAACACAGAGCUGGUAAUGCAAAUUAUAGGCCCCUUCCACACAGCUGUAUAAAAUCCCACAUUAACUGCUUUGAGCUGGAUUAUAUGGCAACGUGGACUCAGAUAAUUGAGUUCAAAGCAGAUAUUGUGGAUUAUCUGAUAUUGUAAAUUCUUCUACUUGGCAUCAAGAGUUUGGAGAAACUCAGCAUUUGGAUAGUUCUUUUGGAAUCAGCAUUUUACAGGGGGAAAUUUGGACGUGUUAUGUGUCUUCAGAAUCUGGAUUCACUUCAUAGCCUACCAUUUGAUAUCAAAAUGCAAAGAGGUCUUAUAGUACCUUAGAAGCUAAUUGAGAAAAUACGACAGAUCAAAUCUACUUCCUUGGAUGCAAAUGGUUUUGUUACCAACUUUGUUCUUUCAGUUAGUCUUGAAGGUCCUACAAGUUCUCUUUUCAUGUCAAUGUAUUCACUUUUUUUGUGUGUGUCAGGAGCAACCGGAGUUGCUUCUGGAGUGAGAGAAUUGGCUGUCUUCAAGGACGUUGCGCAGGGGACGCCCGGAUGUUUUGAUGUUUUAGCACCCUUGUGGGAGGCUUCUCUCAUGUCCCCGCAUGGAGCUGGAGCUGAUAGAGGAAGCUCAUCUGCGCUCUCCCCGGCUGGGAUUCGAACCUGGCAGCCUUCAGGUCAGCAACCCAACCUUCAAGUCACGAGGCUUUUAUCCCCUAGGCCAUCGGAGGCUCCAAUGUAUUCACUUAUGAUGUUCCAUUCAUUCCCAGGCAAAGUAAUUUAGGCCACUUCUUCACUGCCAUAUAAUCCAUAUUAUCAAAGCAGAUAAUCCACAUUAUCUGCUUUGAACUGAAUUAUAUAAAUCUACACUGACAUAUAAUCCAGUUCAAAGCAGAUAACCUGGAUUUUAUAUGGCAGUGUAGAAGGGUCCUAAGACUUUGAACUGCAUUAUAUAAGUCUACACUGCUAUAUAAUCUAAUUCAAAGAAGAUAAUCUAGUUUUUAUAUGGCAGUGUAGAUAGGCCUCACUUUGAAUCAAGGGGAAGACUCCAAACAAUAUGCUGCCUGGAUCAAAGGAUGAUGGUGUCCUUACUUGGCAGGUCUAGAACCAAUUGGACUGAUAGUUGAAUCUUGUUUCAUUAUUUAUUAAGGGUUAGCAUCCUUCACUGAUACUGAAGGCAGCAGGCUGUUUUCGGCGCACACACUCUGCUCUCCAACAGACUAAUAUCAGGGAGUGAGCGAGAGAUAGAAGGAACAACCUGAAGAGCUCCCAUUCAUGGUGCCCAAAGUAGUUGCCCCACCUAGCCUACAAUUAGGGCCAGCCUUACUAAGGGCUCAUCUAAAUCAACCAUAUAAUGCGUCAGCUAUGCGACACAUGCCACUGAAGUAUGCUGCAUCACUCAUUAAGGAGGCUAAAGAACAUAAAGCAUUACAUUUGGGGUAAUCACAAAAUAAACCUCUGGAUGCACUGCAGCAUGGGCACAAUGUGAACCACAUCACAUUUUUAAAUUAGCUCCACAGAAUGCAAAGUGCACUGUAGACACAAAAUACGCUGAUGCACAUUGUAAAAUUCAGAAUGAAGGGGGCUAUCAAAAACAUCCAAGGGCAUAGCUGGGCAGCAGGUGGCCAAUUUAUUGACCUCCUGGGAAUAGUAAUUAAAUAUCUAAAUUGCUGUCACCCCCGGUGACACAGUGGGUUAAACUGCUGAGCUGCUGAACUUGAUGACCGAAAGAUCAGUGGUUCAAAUCCGGGGAGCGGGGUGAGCUCCCACUGUUAGCCCCAGUUUCUGCCAACCUAGCAGUUUGAAAACUUGCAAUUGUGAGUAGAUCAAUAGGCACCACUCUGGCAGGAAGGGACCAGCAUUCCAUGCAGUCAUGCUGGCCACAUGACCUUGGAGGUGUGUACAGACAACGGCAACUCUUCGGCUUAGAAAUGGAGAUGAGCACCACCCCCCAGAGCUGGACACAACUAGACUUAAUAUCAGAGGAAAACCUUUACCUUUACCUAUGUGACUUAAAGUGAAAUGUGUCAAGCAACAUACAUUGCUAUCACCAAUGUAGAUAUUUCAUGUUUCAUUUCAUUGUCUAGAUUGGAACUAUCCUUACAUACCAAUCAUGCUCAUGUGUUCUCCUUGGCCAACACUUUAGAUAAUGACUUGCAUCACUUUAAAUUAAUAGCAGAUUAUAUAGGAGAUGAAUCAAAUCAUGUGCUCUGGCAAAAAAUUAACCCACAGAGAUUGCAUAUGCAAAGAUUUGCUAUCGCCUACUCAUCGUUCAUCAACAUUUUGAUGCCUGCAGACUCAGCUCUCAGGAGGAAUUAAACUGAAUGUAAUUGGGUUUUAAAUAGUAUUAUGAAGCAAACUUUCUGUUGCCAAGUUACACUUUGUUUUUGAGAGGUUUGUGCUCCGCAAUAAUGAGAUACCCAAGUGCAUUAUACACCAGACAUAGUCAUCUGGAGGUGUGCCCUUCAAUCAAGUUUUCUUUAUUCUUUCUAAGAACUUGAAAAUGUUAAUCUCUUUUUUAACCCAAAGCCAACAGGGUGUGAGUAGAAAUUAUCUGAGGCAAUUUUUCAAAUGCAAAAACAUGAAAGAUUUAUUUAAACUUCAAAGCAGGAAAAAACACAACAGGUAAUGUUAUGAAAGAUGGAAACAUGCUACACAUGAACUCUUGGAAGGGGCUGACUAUCAUUUAUUGGCCUCAGUGCAAACUGGUGACAUUGUCCUGUACAUGCCAUCAUAUCAGCCAUGAAAAACAUUUUUGAAAUUAUCAAGUUAAAUAAAAAUUGCUUUUUGAAAAACACCAGUUUUUGCUAAUUCUGAUUGAUAACCCUACCAAUGACAUUGACCCAAUUUAUUUGAAUACUUUAUUUUUGUCCUGGUCUUGUACAUUUCAAAAUGACACACACAUACAGAAUCAAUUUCUCAUGCAGCUUCCUACUAACAAGAAACAUGGGGAAAGUGCCAUAUUUGCUCCUGCCCCAUCGUAGAACACCUAUAGUUCUGUGUGAGUGCUACCUUGCUGAAAUGUUUUUCAGAUCCUGUCAAUAUGCAUAAAAUCUUAGUAUCUCUAGUCACUUCACUGAAAAACAGUUGCAGUUGUUUCUUAUCAUUCUUAUGUCAUGAUAUAAGUGUGAUUAAUAUAUAUUUCCUCCCAAAAUAAUUUUUUUCAGGUGUAAUAUUUCUCAAAAAUUGCAAUCCCUUGCAUAAAACUAAUAUACAGCUGAGAUGAUGAUGAUGAUGAUGGUGAUGAUGAUUCCAGCUAUGAUCUGAGGAACCCCUAGUAACCUUUUGUGGAAUAUUAAGGUUAACAUGGUGGCGCAGUGUGUUAAACCGCUGAGCUGCUGAACUUGCGGAUCGAAAGGUUGCAGGUUCAAAUCCGAGGAGUGGAGUGAGUGCCCGCUGUUAGCCCCAGAUUCUGCCAACCUAGCAGUUCGAAAACAUGCAAAUGAAGAACAUUUAUGAGGAAACUGGUAGAAAGAAGGUUACCACUAACUUUCCAUUACUAAUAUAUGAUGCUGCAACCAGAUAUAGUGAAGACAUCUACACUUGUGCUUUGCUACUCUGCUGCUGAGUCCGCAUGCCCAGUGUGGAAUAGAUCUCACCACGUUAAAACAGUGGAUGUGGCUCUUAAUGGGACAUGCCACAUUAUCACAGGAUGUCUACGCCCCACACCACUGGAGAAAUUAUAUUUUUUAGCCGGUAUUGCACUACCUGAUAUCCGCUGGGAAGUAGCAGCCAACCAUGAAAAGACCAAGGUAGUGACAUCUCCGGCCCACCCCCUGUUAGGUAUCAGCCAGCACAUCAAUGCUUUAAAUCAAGAAAUAGCUUUCUAAGAUCUACAGAGAUACUUGCCUGAACAACUCAGAAAGCGAGAGGCCAAAAGUGGCAGGCUAAAACUCGGAACCUCAAUCCAUGGCUGAGACCAGAUGAGAGACUUCCCCCUGGGCACACAGAAGGCUGGGCGACAUGGAAGGCACUGAACAGACUGCGCUCUGGCACCAUGAGGUGCAGAGCCAGUCACCAGAAAUGGGGCUGCAAAGUGGAGUCCGCAACAUGCGAGUGUGGAGAAGAGCAAUCCACAGACCACUUACUACAAUGCAGUCUGAACCCUGCCACAUGCACAAUGGAGUGACACCAGAGACACUCCAAGUGGCCAGAUUCAGGGCAAAGGACAUUUAGUAUAAUGCCAAGUUUUUAACUUUGGUUUCUAAAUACAUUACAGCUGUACCCCCAGUUUUGCUUCUGAUACAAAAAAUAAAGGCUAAUAUGUGGUGGUUCUAAUUUACACUCUUCUUCUUCUUCUUUACUCGUUCAGUCGUUUUUGACUCUUCGUGACCUCAUGGACCAGUCCACGCCAGAGCUCCCUGUUGGCCAUCACCACCCCCAGUUCCUUCAAGGUCAAGCCAGUCACUUCAAGGAUACCAUCAUCCAUCUUGCCCUUGGUCGGCCCCUCUUCCUUUUUCCUUCCAUUUUCCCCAGCAUCAUGAUCUUUUCCAAGCUUUCCUGUCUUCUCAUGAUGUGGCCAAAAUACUUCAUCUUUGCCUCUAGUAUCCUUCCCUCCAGUGAGCAGUCGGGCAUUAUUUCCUAGAGGAUGGACUGGUUGGAUCUUCUUGUGGUCCAAGGCACUCUCGGGAUUUUCCUCCAGCACCAAAGUUCAAAAACAUCUAUCUUCCUUCGCUCAGCCUUCCUCAUGGUCCAGCUCUCGCAGCCAUAGGUUACUAUGGGGAAUACCAUUGCUUUCACUAUGCGGACCUUCGUUGCCAGUGUGAUGUCUCUGCUUUUCAGUAUUUUAUUGAGGUUGGCCAUUGCUCUCCUCCCAAGAAGUAAAUGUCUUCUGAUUUCCUGGCUGCAGUCUGCAUCUGCAGUGAUCUUCGCACCUAGAAAUAUAAAGUCUGUCACUGCCUCCACGCUUUCUCCUUCUAUUUGCCAGUUGUCAAUUGGUCUGGUUGCCACGAUCUUGGUUUUCUUGAUGUUUAACUGCAACCCAGCUUUUGCACUUUCUUCUUUCACCUUGGUGAUAAGGCUCCUCAGCUCCUCCUCACUUUCAGCCAUCAGAGUGGUAUCAUCUGCAUACCUAAGUUUGUUAAUGUUUCUUCCAGAAAUUUUAACUCCAGCUUUGGAUUCGUCAAGCCCCGCACGUCGCAUGAUGUGUUCUGCGUAAAUGUUUCAUAGGUAGGGUGAUAUUUGCAACCCACUACAUGUGGAAAAACAUCCCUGUUUGUUCUUUGCAUUUCCAACAUUUGUUUGGAAUAUUUUGAUAACACUUUGCCAAUUUUUGUGGCGUCAUGUA